rnacentral:lncRNA from 1 species
GCAUACUAAAUGUUUAAUUAAAUUGAGGCAGAUUCCUUGCAAAAUUCCUAUCAAUUAUAACUUUUCUCAUUAUACUUAAUACAUUAUUUGAUCUUCCAAAAUUAUACACAUGCAGAUUGUUUUACAAGACUGCCUGUUAUGUAAGAUGAGGUUCACGUAUAAAAUCCACCUACCAUCUAUAAUUUUAACAUGUUAAAAAUUACAUUAGUAAGUUUCUCUUUAUCGAAUAUUCAUUUUCUGUUUUUGCUUUCUACUUCAGUGGAGACUUAUAGAGUUGCAACUUUGACACUAAAAUUUCCAUGGCAACAGAUAUUUUUUGUCAUAAACACAGGCAUGAUUAAAAGGAAGGCUUUAGUGACAGCAGUUUUCUUCAUGAUUAAAUUAAUUAGUUAAAAAACUGGGUUAAGAGGCAUAGGAAUUUCAUUACUAAGAAGUAUGUUUUCAACUAGAACUUUGGAAACAAUACAAAAUUUAAUUGCAAGUGAAUUGCACUUGCCCCUGUUUGAUAUUUAAGGUAACAUUUAUACAUUUUGUGUUCAACAGCUUAGAGUGGAACAAAUCUAAAACCAGAUUCUGUCCAAGGCCAAACAGCCUUGAACCCCUCCCUUUAAAUUGUCCAUGAUGUGAAAACUCAGUAUAUUUCUAAGUAAUUGAGAGAUUUCUAAGUAGUUUCAUAACUUUCCUAAUUUAAUUCUCUCCCACAAGAUUCGAAAGAAUUUCUUGGCCUGAUUUCUCAUCAUUAUAAAAGUGAUUCAGAAUUAAUGUAGAGAAUUUGUAAAGUAUAGAAAGGUACAAAGUAGAAAAUUUACCCAGAAGUCCACCAAUGUUAACAUUUAAAUAUAUUUCCAAUAGCGUGUCUAAUUAUCUUCCCCAUUAUCCAGGAAAAAAACAAACAAACAGUGUUCAAACAAUGUUCAGACUCAAGAUUUGAAGCAACUAUCCACAUUCCCUGAGUGUAUCAUAGAAACUUACUGGCUAGGAAAAUGCUCCAGUUGGGAGUGUUUAGACCUGGGGGUUUGGAUGAAAUGCAGUUAGAAUAAUCAGGAUGUAAUUAGAUCCAAAGGAAUUG